CGGCGGACGGGUGAGUAACACGUGGAUAACCUACCUAUAAGACUGGGAUAACUUCGGGAAACCGGAGCUAAUACCGGAUAAUAUAUUGAACCGCAUGGUUCAAUAGUGAAAGACGGUUUUGCUGUCACUUAUAGAUGGAUCCGCGCCGCAUUAGCUAGUUGGUAAGGUAACGGCUUACCAAAGGCAACGAUGCGUAGCCGACCUGAGAGGGUGAUCGGCCACACUGGAACUGAGACACGGUCCAGACUCCUACGGGAGGCAGCAGUU
rnacentral:rRNA from 1 species